AGCCUUCUGUAUCCAUGUUGAGAUUUCGCCACAAAUCAGACCACAAGAGCUGUUGAGGCUGCCAAGAUAAGUGAUGCG
rnacentral:pre_miRNA from 1 species